rnacentral:pre_miRNA from 1 species
UGUAAACAUCCACGACUGGAAGCUGCCCCACUGUGGCCACGCGGCUUUCAGUCCGGUGUUUACGGC